UGGGGAAUAUUGGGCAAUGGGGGCAACCCUGACCCAGCAACGCCGCGUGAAGGAAGAAGGCUUUCGGGUUGUAAACUUCUUUUACCAGGGACGAAGACGUGACGGUACCUGGAGAAAAAGCCACGGCUAACUACGUGCCAGCAGCCGCGGUAAUACGUAGGUGGCAAGCGUUGUCCGGAUUUACUGGGUGUAAAGGGCGUGUAGGCGGGAGAGCAAGUCAGAUGUGAAAUCUAUGGGCUUAACCCAUAAACUGCAUUUGAAACUGUUCUUCUUGAGUAUCGGAGAGGCAGGCGGAAUUCCUAGUGUAGCGGUGAAAUGCGUAGAUAUUAGGAGGAACACCAGUGGCGAAGGCGGCCUGCUGGACGACAACUGACGCUGAGGCGCGAAAGCGUGGGGAGCAAACA
rnacentral:rRNA from 1 species